AAUGAACGUUGCGGCACGCCUAAUACAUGCAAGUCGAACGCGAUCUUCGGAUCGAGUGGCGGACGGGUGAGUAAUACAUGGGAAUCUACGAGAAGUGGGGAACAACUAUUGGAAACAGUAGCUAAUACCGCAUAAUCCACAUUGGGAAAGCUUUUUGCGCUCUUCGAUGAGCCCAUGUCUGAUUAGCUAGUUGGUAAGGUAAAAGCUUACCAAGGCGACGAUCAGUAGCUGGUUUUAGAGGAUGAUCAGCCACACUGGGACUGAGACACGGCCCAGACUCCUACGGGAGGCAGCAGUGGGGAAUCUUAGACAAUGGGGGCAACCCUGAUCUAGCCAUGCCGCGUGAGUGAUGAAGGCCUUAGGGUCGUAAAGCUCUUUCGCCUGUGAUGAUAAUGACAGUAGCAGGUAAAGAAACCCCGGCUAACUCCGUG
rnacentral:rRNA from 1 species